UGUGUAACUACCUAUUAUUAAAUAAGGCUUUCUGGAGUUUAGAGGAAAAACUUGAAGAAAAUGCUUUAGAAAAUUGGUUAAUUCAACAACACUAAAACGGAAAAAUCCGAUUAUCUAUAAUUGAGGCAAAGAUCUUCAAUUCUCCGGAGAAUUUGACAACUGAGAAUAAAACUAAGAAUUAAAAGAGCUCCUCGUCUUCUAACAUAUAGCUCAAUAAAAGCCAUAGCUUACAUAAAGGAACCUGAAUUAAGAAUCCUGAAAAGGAUGAAGAAGAAUUUAUGUGAGAACCGCCAUCUUACGCCAAAAUCACCAAGAAACAGUUUAAAACUUUUUCAAUGAGAAUUUUUUUGUUAUUCAAUAAAAAAUUGUCGUAUUUUAACGCAAAAACGAAAUGGACUGGAUUUUACUCAUCUCUGUUAUGUGGACCUACUUUUUUGUGGGAUGGGAUGCUAUAUUCAGACGCAUUGUAUCUCUGAUGCAUUUAAGUAAAUCAGUGGACCUAACACAAGAUUUGUGUUCAAAAUCAAUUUAAUUCAUCAAGACUGAUAUGUAAUUGACCCAACGAAAAUAUUAAAUAUCAAUUAAAAUAAAAAAAAUAAUGUUAAUAAAACAUAAAUAAUUUUAUUACUUAAAUGUAAGUGUGAUUUAAAGUAAAUCUAUGUAUGAAUUUAUAAUUUUUCUCAAAUAAAAAAAAAUAGAAAACAAAUACAUUUAAUUUAUUUUUAGUUCUGUUAAAUAUUUAUUUAAAUUAUGAGU